UACAGAGGCCCCAAGCGUUAGGCGGAAUCACUGGGCUUAAAGCGUGUGUAGGCGGACUUCUAAGUACCUUGUGAAAUCCCACGGCUUAACCGUGGAACUGCUUGGUAUACUGGUCGUCUUGAGCCACUUAGGGGUUACAGGAACAAAUGGUGGAGCGGUGAAAUGCGUAGAUAUCAUUUGGAACGCCAAUGGUGAAAACAGGUAACUGGGAGUGUGCUGACGCUGAGACACGAAAGCUAGGGGAGCAAACGGG
rnacentral:rRNA from 1 species